rnacentral:rRNA from 1 species
UACGGAGGGGGCUAGCGUUGUUCGGAUUUACUGGGCGUAAAGGGCGCGUAGGCGGCCACCGGCAAGUCGACUGUGAAAUCUCCGGGCUUAACCCGGAAAGGUCAGCCGAUACUGCGGGGCUAGAGUGCAGAAGGGGCAACUGGAAUUCUCGGUGUAGCGGUGAAAUGCGUAGAUAUCGAGAGGAACAGCCUGCGGCGAAGGCGGGUUGCUGGGCUGACACUGAGCGCUGACAGCGCGAAGCUAGGGGAGCGAACGGG